rnacentral:rRNA from 1 species
UACGAAGGGGGCUAGCGGUGUUCGGAAUCACUGGGCGUAAAGCGCACGCAGGCGGAUCGAUAAGUCGGGGGUGAAAGCCCGGGGCUCAACCUCGGAAUUGCCUUCGAUACUGUCGGUCUUGAGUCCGGGAGAGGUGAGUGGAAUUCCUAGUGUAGAGGUGAAAUUCGUAGAUAUUAGGAAGAACACCAGUGGCGAAGGCGGCUCCCUGUCCCGGUACUGACGCUCAGGUGCGAAAGCGUGGGGAGCAAACAGG